rnacentral:rRNA from 1 species
GGAAGGUGGGGACGACGGUCAAGUCAUCAUGGCCCUUAUGUCCUGGGCCACACACGUGCUACAAUGGCCGGUACAGAGCGCAGCGAGGCCGCGAGGCGGAGCGAAUCGACUUAAAGCCGGUCCCAGUACGGAUUGGAGUCUGCAACCCGACUCCAUGAAGUUGGAAUCGCUAGUAAUCGCGCAUCAGCAUGGCGCGGUGAAUACGUUCCCGGGCCUU